rnacentral:rRNA from 2 species
GAGGUUAAGCGACUAAGCGUACACGGUGGAUGCCCUGGCAGUCAGAGGCGAUGAAGGACGUGCUAAUCUGCGAUAAGCGCCGGUAAGGUGAUAUGAACCGUUAUAACCGGCGAUUUCCGAAUGGGGAAACCCAGUGUGACUCGUCACACUAUCAUUAACUGAAUCCAUAGGUUAAUGAGGCGAACCGGGGGAACUGAAACAUCUAAGUACCCCGAGGAAAAGAAAUCAACCGAGAUUCCCCCAGUAGCGGCGAGCGAACGGGGAGGAGCCCAGAGCCUGAAUCAGCAUGUGUGUUAGUGGAAGCGUCUGGAAAGGCGCGCGAUACAGGGUGACAGCCCCGUACACAAAAGCGCAUGUGCUGUGAGCUCGAUGAGUAGGGCGGGACACGUGGUAUCCUGUCUGAAUAUGGGGGGACCAUCCUCCAAGGCUAAAUACUCCUGACUGACCGAUAGUGAACCAGUACCGUGAGGGAAAGGCGAAAAGAACCCCGGCGAGGGGAGUGAAAAAGAACCUGAA